GGAGUUAUGGCUCAGCGGUAGAGCACUCACCUCAUACAUGCAAGGCCCUGGAUUCGAUCUCCAGUACCA
rnacentral:tRNA from 1 species